GACGAACGCUGGCGGCGUGCUUAACACAUGCAAGUCGAACGGAGAGGCCCUGCUUUUGUGGGGUGCUCGAGUGGCGAACGGGUGAGUAACACGUGAGUAACCUGCCCUUGACUUUGGGAUAACUUCAGGAAACUGGGGCUAAUACCGGAUAGGAGCUCCUGCUGCAUGGUGGGGGUUGGAAAGUUUCGGCGGUUGGGGAUGGACUCGCGGCUUAUCAGCUUGUUGGUGGGGUAGUGGCUUACCAAGGCUUUGACGGGUAGCCGGCCUGAGAGGGUGACCGGCCACAUUGGGACUGAGAUACGGCCCAGACUCCUACGGGAGGCAGCAGUGGGGAAUAUUGCACAAUGGGCGGAAGCCUGAUGCAGCAACGCCGCGUGCGGGAUGACGGCCUUCGGGUUGUAAACCGCUUUCGCCUGUGACGAAGCGUGAGUGACGGUAAUGUGUAAAGAAGCACCGGCUAACUACGUG
rnacentral:rRNA from 1 species